UGACCUUUAACAGGUCGGGACCACUACCUUAUAUGGAAAUGCAUAAAUUAGCAUACUUAUGUUCUCGCACAUGUAAUUGUUUAUUUACAUGUGACGCAAUUUAUUUUUACCUAGGUUUUUGACCAAUCCACUAAAUGAGUCACAAUGCAUGAUGGACUACUACGUGUUUACAAUCAACCAAGAACACGUGUUAUUUACUGAAAUACAACACAUUUUUUCGUGCAAUGCGGGAUUCACAAUUUCGCUUAGUUUUUCAUUUUGUGUAUCCUCAUUUAUAGUUCGUGAUAUAAAGUAUUACUUCCAUGCUCAGAUUAACGAAGAGUUGUUUCUAUGCGAAGAAAAAAGGGUUUGAAUUACCCGAUAUAUAGCCAUUAACAUGUUUGAUGAUGGCACAGAGAUUUCAUGUAUUUGUCCACCAGAAGCAACGAAACAACAGCGAAAAAACACAAUUACCCAUGAGACAAACUUACUGGUGUAAAGUAAGCCGUCGAUAACAGCCGGUGCUGAUAUUCAAGAGUACAGCAAUGUUCGUAUAGAUAAUUAAAGGCAAAUGUGGGAUCCUUGAAUUUUGUGUUCGUAAAAAAGGCGAAGAAAUAUUUACAUACAUGGCAGUGUUAACAAAAUCUAUAAGUAUUUUUGUUGGUCACAUUUCAGUAUAUGGGACUUCCAAACUGUUCCCUUUUUUUUAAGGUAGUGAAGUCAGCAACUGUAGUUUCAGUUUGUUCGUUUUUUAACGGGCUCGGACAUUUGCCAAACUGAAUAAAAUCAUUACAGCUGAUUUCUUAAACCUGCAAAGUAAAACUUUGGUUGGCUUGCUUGCUUUGUUUGUAUAGUUGUUUAUACAAGCUUUGAAAAUAAGAUUGACAUCUUUAAACAAUAUAUAUAUAUAUAGGCAUAGUUUAACUUGUAUAUUUUAUAUUUUGUACAAUAUACAAACAAAGCAAGCAAGCUAACCAAAGUUUUGCUCCACAUGCAUUAGGAAAUAAGCUGUAAUGAUUUUAUCCAUAUGUAUGUGCGACAAGGUGGAAAAUUUGAUAUGUUUUGUGAAAAUUGCAGCGUUGGAUCUAUAAUAAAAAAAAAAAGAUGUGGUAUGAUUGCCAAUGAGACAGCUGUCCACAAGAGACCAAAAUGACACAGAAAUUAACAUUUAUAGAUCACCGUACGGCCUUCAACAAUGAGCAAAGCCCAUACCGCAUAGUCAGCUAUAAAAGUCCCCGAUAUGACAAUGUAAAACAAUUCAAACGAGAAAACUAACGGCCUUAAUUAUAUAAAAAAAAAAAUGAACGAAAAACAAAUAUGUAACACAUAAACAAACGACAACCACUGAAAUACAGGCUCCUAUACAAUAUAUUUUUUUUUGAUGGGAUAGAUUUCUUGUCCUUUUAUAUAUUUAAUUGGGCCGGUUUUUUUUUUUUGUUUUUUGUUUGGAUUGUUUUACACAAGUAAUUUUGGGUCAUUAAUAGCUUACUUUUCAGCAUUGGACCUAUGACUGCUUACUUUACUAAAUUAUGUCUUUGUUGGAAAGAUGUCUCAUUUGGCACUCAUACCUCAUCUUCUUAUUUCUAUAUACAAAGCACGUUUUAGAAAAAAAAAAAAUAGGUAAUAUGGCACCCACUAUGAUCCAGAGACUUUUAAUAUUGGAGAUAUUUUACAUAUGUCAACAGGACAGCAGCCGAACGAUAAAAAAACCUCUGAGGUAUAUUUUGUGAUAAAAUUAGCAACAAACGGAUAUUAUCGAUGGAUGAAACUAUAAAAAAA
rnacentral:lncRNA from 1 species